GGGGGGGGUAACCAACUAUGUGUUAUUACAAAAGCCUCCUCUCCUGACUGAAUAAGGACCUGCAAGCUGAAUGUGUUCCUCAGACAGAAUGCUUUGUUUAUAACAGGGGAAUGAAUGGAGGCAGGCAGAAAGAAGCUCUGUUCCUACUGCCAUGUGAUCUUACACACUGUGUGGAGACUCUAUGGCAGAAUUAUGGUGGAUAUCAGGAGGAGGUGGAGAGGAAAGGUAGGGAUAUCAGGAGGAGGUUGAAAGGAAAGGUGGUGAUAUCAGGAGGAGGUUGAAAGGAAAGGUGGUGAUAUCAGGAGGAGGUUGAAAGGAAAGGUGGGGAUAUCAGGAGGAGGUUGAAAGGAAAGGUGGGGAUAUCAGGAGGAGGUUGAAAGGAAAGGUGGUGAUAUCAGGAGGAGGUUGAAAGGAAAGGUGGUGAUAUCAG
ensembl:lncRNA